rnacentral:rRNA from 1 species
GAUGAACGCUGGCGGCGUGCUUAACACAUGCAAGUCGAACGAAGCAGCUGGAAUUCUUCGGAAUGAUAGUUGACUGAGUGGCGGAUGGGUGAGUAACGCGUGGGUAACCUGCCUCAUACAGGGGGAUAACAGUUAGAAAUGACUGCCAAUACCGCAUAAGACCACAGCACCGCAUGGUGUAGGGGUAAAAGCCGAGACGGUAUGAGAUGGACCCGCGUCUGAUUAGCUAGUUGGUGGGGCAACGGCCUACCAAGGCGACGAUCAGUAGCCGACCUGAGAGGGUGACCGGCCACAUUGGGACUGAGACACGGCCCAA